rnacentral:rRNA from 1 species
ACGCUAGUACAGGUGGUGCAUGGCUGUCGUCAGCUCGUGUCGUGAGAUGUUGGGUUAAGUCCCGCAACGAGCGCAACCCUUACCCUUAGUUGUUUUCCCGAAAGGAUUACCCUCUAAGGGGACUGCCCCGGACAACGGGGAGGAAGGUGGGGGAUGACGUCAAGUCCGCAUGCUCCUUACGUCUAGGGCUACACACGUCCUACAAUGGGGUCGACAGUGGGAUGCAAAGCCGCGAGGUGGAGCCAAUCCCCAAACGGCCUCUCAGUUCGGAUAGUAGUCUGCAACUCGACUACUUGAAGUCGGAAUCGCUAGUAAUCGCAGGUCAGCAUACUCGCGGUCGAAUACGUUCCGGGCCUU